UACAGAGGUCCCAAGCGUUGUUCGGAUUCACUGGGCGUAAAGGGUGCGUAGGUGGCCAGGUAAGUUUGGUGUGAAAGCUCGGAGCUUAACUCCGAAAAGUCAUUGAAUACUAUCUGGCUGGAGGGUCGGAGGGGAGACUGGAAUUCUCGGUGUAGCAGUGAAAUGCGUAGAUAUCGAGAGGAACACCAGUGGCGAAGGCGAGUCUCUGGACGACUCCUGACACUGAGGCACGAAAGCGAGGGGAGCAAACAGG
rnacentral:rRNA from 1 species